rnacentral:rRNA from 1 species
UACGGAGGGUGCAAGCGUUAUCCGGAUUCACUGGGUUUAAAGGGUGCGUAGGUGGGUUGGUAAGUCAGUGGUGAAAUCUCCGGGCUUAACCCGGAAACUGCCAUUGAUACUAUCAGUCUUGAAUACCGUGGAGGUAAGCGGAAUAUGUCAUGUAGCGGUGAAAUGCUUAGAUAUGACAUAGAACACCAAUUGCGAAGGCAGCUGGCUACACGAAUAUUGACACUGAUGCACGAAGCGUGGGGAUCAAACAGGA